rnacentral:lncRNA from 1 species
GCGCAGUAAGCGUCAUCUCUGGGCGGGUCUCAGGCAGCUCCUUCUCCGCCACUGCAGGCUUUGGGCAGAGGCAGGAACCAGCUAGCUUAAGGAGUUUGGAUGUUUACCCCUUGGUGCUGAGGUGCUUUCGGCCCCCAGUGAAACCGUGCAAACAACUUCGUAGUGGGAUUCUGCAGGGUGGCCCGGAGAAUGUGGAGGAGCCGGCCGGAGGUGGAGGUAGGCAGGAGGGGUACACACCAGUGUCAGUUCAGGAGGCCUGCACAGGAAUGUCUGCUUCUGAUAACAGAAACCGAAGCGAUUCCCAAUUUUAUUUUAUUUUAUUUUUCCCCCUUGAGUAGCUAAAUGCCUUUUCUGAGUAAAGGAAGAGACAACUUCGAAUGGGUGGAGGAAGAAGCUGAAACCAAUGUCAGAUCUAUUUAGUUCUAGACACCCAGGGAGCUCUUGAUAGAUAUACAUAUCCAGCAGACAGCACUAUGCAUUGACGCCAGGUGGAGACCUCAGCUUUCCCUUGAGAGAUAUAAUCCAGAUUCUGGACAUGGAAGCAGGAAGACCACUCAUUAAAGGUCUGCCUGGGAAAUUUAAUGAGGCCAGCAGCUCAAAAUAAAAGAAGUAGAAAGAGGGCUAGUGACAUAGUGCAAUAGUAGCAUGCUCACCCAGCAUGUGCCCUAUCCCAGCAUCAUUAAAUAGGCAAAUAAAUAAGCAGACUAUUGGCAACUUCUGAACACAGAGGCAACCAGGCCCGUGGGAGAGUGUGGACUGGUAUCCCCUCUGUAAGAGCAGCCCAGGUUCUCUCCUCUUCAAGCCUAUUUCCAACUGAUUGUUUGUAACCUCUCCAUUAUUUCCUCCAAAGACAAGGAAGGAUGUGACUUGAAAGUCCCCUUUGGAAGAAAAGAGGGGCUGGCUGGCUGGGAAAGCAAUUGGGCACCUGGAGCUCCAGUCCCAAUAUUGACUAUGUAGGUUUGGGCAGGACUCUAAACAUCUUUGAGAUUUUCACAGACGUGAAAUGUUAUAAUAACAUGUAUCUCCCUGGGCUACUGUGAAGAGUCCAUGAAGAAGAGCAUGUGAAUUCUUCUGAGAGUCAUAAAAUAGAUGGUUCACUCUGCCGUACUUUAAAGGAACAUAAAUGGUCUAAGGUCGGAAGGAACCCUGCUCCUGGAUUAUUUAGUAUUUCAACAACAACAAUCUACUGAAAGUGAGCUCUUGACAGCGUGAGAAGGAGGACCUCUAGUGUGAAGACAAGAGAGAAUCUGAUUAUCUCUCUCUUCUGAUUAUUCUCAUGUAGCCCAGGCUAGCCUGGCACUGUGUAGCUCAAGAUGACCUUGAACUUGUGGUUCAUUCCUCCUGUUUCGGCCUUCCAGAUACAGCUCUAUAGUGCUUUAUUAUUAAAACCAAAUGGCUCCAUGGAAACAAAAUACAAACAUUUGUUGACCCUUGCAAGGGGAAUAUGGGUGCUCCCCACACUCAAUUUUGUAUUAUUGGGUCUCCUAAUUUUUCUAAGUUGGAAUCAUCUAAUACAAGGUACCAUAUAUUCAUGCCCCAAACUCACACGUCAGCCCUGGCUGUGUUAUGGGAUGCCUCUGUUUUCUUAUAAUGCCCCAGGUUUGCUCAUGCUCUCUCCUCUCCUUGUAGCACAGGUUGCUGAUCCUGCCUGUGUCUGGAAAUAGGUUUGGCUUCCCUAACCUACUUCCAUGUCCCAGGGAACUCCAGGCCUCAGUCCUAACCCCAGAACCUGGGAUAGGCCUCCUCACUGUGGCACUGCUGUGGGUACCUCUGUCACUAAAGGACAUUCCAGGCACUGCAGAACCAUCUAGACCAUCACCUCUUAGAGCCAACUUGACAUAGAAUUUGAAAACUUGUACACUCAUCCUCCUGAGUUCUGUGAGGGAGAUUAUCUGUGUGGACUUUGCAAAUACCAAUCUUUACACAAACCUUCUUGGUUCGCAUUGGGAGUUAUCUUAGCCUCUAAUCGCAUGUGGCCUUACCAUAUGUGAUUUAGUCAUUAGGACAUUCAUCCAUUUACAUCUAGCAAGGUAUUACGUAUUUGUGGCAGGCCUCCAAGAGUCCUGCCUCUUUGGGAUGGAUGGCUUGUGGAAUGUCCUGGACAGUAUGAAAUUUCACCCUAUGGUGGGGUUAUGUUAUACAGAAAAGGUGAAGUGGCCUUGAUGCUAUGAUUAAAGUCCCCCAUGAGCCAACUUCUAGGAAUCAGGAAGAAGGGUUUUCAGCUUGUAAAGUGAGGACCCAUAUUAUCCCUCCUAAUAGGGACUGGAAACCGAAUAGGGACACAUUAUACGGCCAGUGAAGAUCCAUUAGCCAUGUUGUGUAGCAGGGACAUGCAGGAAGCUCUAGAACCUCAAGGCUUGGGCAUCUGACCAAGAAGCACAUGAGACUGGAAGAGGGCUUGGGGCCUCUGUGAGAUGUCAACCUCGACUGUUGCCUCAGCCGCUGCCUGGUGAGACCGGGAGAAGAGGACCCAGCCAGCCGUGCCUACACUCCCAACAAGUGUGCAUUCUCUGAAGCCACUUAGUUUGUAAUUAUGGUGUGAAAGUCACAAGAAUCAGAGUGGAAUUGCUCUGACAAGUAAGCAAAUGAAGCAUGGGGAUUGUGAAGCAGGGAGUUUGGUGCACAUGGACCUGAAAACAGAAGAUCUGCCUGGAAUCUCAGUCUGGCACUAGGGUUACCACAAGUUUGUACAGACUGUACCUCUGCAAGGACAUCUGUCUGGCCUUGGGAUGGUGCCACCCUUGCUGCUGAUCUCACUAACACGGAGAGCUGACUGAAAGAGCUUCAUUGACUUGUGAAACCAUUCCUUUACUCUGGAUGCUACAUGGGUUCAUGGCUUACCAGACCAUGGUAUCAUCAAUGGUCAAUGUGAUGCUCUCUGUUUCCAAAGAAAUUCAAUGUGUGGAGGGUCCCCAUUGUUAUUCUAAUUGACAGCAGUGACAGGAAACACACAUGAGAUAUCUGAAGUGUGUCAGUUACUGGGAAUGUAGAACCAUGGUGCCACUUUUGUCCCAGAUGUUCAGAGAAUAGUAGAGGAGACAGAAAUAUUAACUGUCAGAGCUUUUAAAAAGCAAUAUGAAAAUAGGAGUCAAGGCACCAAGCUGGUUACCGUGGGGUGGAGCACACACAGCUGCCCUUCACAGGGCCUGUCAGGGGAGCCAAAGAACAACUCCUUGUGAGAAGACACAGUGGGAAGCAGAUAAUGUCAGCCUUGCUCUUUUUUUGUGGGCUCGUUAGGUGGAGGCUACAGGCCUGGCAUCUCUGCAACUGAAUUCUUCACCUUCUACCUGAAGUGAAGUCCUUUGGCACAGGGGGGGGGGGGGGGAAACAAGAUCUGCAAACACAGAAUCAGAGCUGAGAGGUGAAAAAGACAGGUGGUCUUGGGGACGUUUGAACCUCAGUUCCAGCGGAGCAUGGUACCAAGUCUCAAUUCCCAUCCUUCCCAGUGAACCAGGAAAGCCCAGCUAUAAACUUGGGAUCAUUUCUAAUCUGUACUAUGACUGAGUAAUACAGAGUUAAAUAAGUUUGCAGCAUAUGACACCGGCCAUUACUAAACCGAUUGUCCUCAUAAACUAUGUACUCUGAAUACUUCAAGGGUAGCCACCCGAUUUUGGGUGCUCACUAUGGAGUGCUGAUAUGUGUAUGUCAAAAGACCAUAGUGCAAAGCACUCACUCAAUAUUAUUAACGAUGAAAAGGGUGAUGACUGUUUUUGCAGUCCCGAUGAGAUAUCUGGCUUGCAGGUGAGCAUGAACACCCUGAAUGGAAUCAAAGGCCUGUCAUUUUCUUGAAAUGACAGCCUGAUAUGGUUAAUGUAAAUAAACACUGAGAAUGGUCAUGCACGCCUCAUUGCUUUGAAUAGGAAAUUACAGCCCUCGGGGUCUCAGAACCUCAGACAGCAUCAAUACAUAAGCCUAAAAAAGCCCCACAGAUCUCUAACACCUCACAGAUAGAUCCUCUCUUACAGAAAGGGUGGGACCAUGUGCCCUCAAUAUUUCCAAAGAGAUCCAGUCUUUAGGAAGGGACAUGGAACAUUUGAACCGCCUAGACAUUUGAACAAAUUAGAUCAUUUAGAUCUGUGGGUAGUACCUGCCUGGACUUGGCCUUCCUCCUGCCCAGCUGGCUGGCAGACCUUGGGAAUCUGCCCUGGCUGGACAUGACAUGCAGGUAUUGGUCAUUGUUGCUGUUUUGAUGGUCACUGCUGGAUGCUGCUGACACAGAAUCAGAUUCUGUGAAGGACGGCUCGAACUUGGCCUUGACUCUGGCCUUCAGGGCAUGCUGUGGGUAUUGGCCGUUCCUGGAUCGUGGCUUUCUGUGUACAAAUGUGGGCCUCUCAAGCUGGUCUUCAAAACUAUUAUCCCCAGAUCUGUAGUACACCCUUCGCUGGUAUUUAGGGUCUCUGGUGUUAUUUUCUGAUCUGUCACCAGUGUAAAAACAAGAAGACCGAGGCAGGUCUGUCAGGGAGCUAGCAGGGAUUGACCACUGGACCAAAUCUCUCCUGAGCAUCUCCUCCUCUUCUUCACUCAGCUGUGGAGAGCAAGGCUGGUUGGGAACCCAGGACAUGUACUGCUGCACAUUCCUGGGGUACAGCUCUACAAUGUCACCUAAAGCAUCUAUCUUGAAAUGCCUUUCUGGCCAGAAAGCUCGGUGGGUCUUUUUGUGAGAGUCACGUUCAUUAACCACAUAGUACCUGGGAGCACGGGGACUGUGGUCAUGUGUCAUCAAGGUAGAGACCCCAGAUCCACAGAAAGGAGGACUGAUUGGCUGAAAGUCUUUCCGGGAAAGAGGCUCUGAGCGGACAUCUUUGAGGGGCUGUGUCUGUGUCACAGAUGAGCAGGAUCUGUUCUUGUGGAGGUUGCUUGUGCUGGAACAUGGCCUAUGUGGAUGCCUGUAAGACAGACGUGGUUAAGUAGCUAUGGCCUCUGUAUCCCUCCACAGCCCCAGGAAUUCCAAAGUGUCUGUAUGUGAUUUGUGGGCUGCAUGCACAGAAGCACUCAGGGAGCAGGGCCACACACUGAAUAUCUCAGAGCCCUGAUAUGAUAAGGGAUGACACUCUCUAUGAGGGUGCACAUAAAGGCCUCAUUAACAUAUGUCAUCACAGAGCACUGGUUCUGUUAGGAACAAUUUUAUGGGGCUAAUGUUUGUGGAAUGCAUGUUAGGAAUACUGCUCUAGUGGGCUAACCUGCUCUCCAGCUUCUCAGGAACUCCCUCAAGUGUCCACUUGGGCGAACUCUACCUGUCAAAGGACCAGUGACUGUGCUUUGGUCCCCAACCCCAGUGACCUCCCAAGAAAAAUUUAGAUUCUUCCUUGACUACUUGUCAAGGUACUCCAAGGAUAUGAAGACAACUUGCAUAAAACAAAUCCUCAAGUUCUAUGAUAAUUUGCAGUAAGGAAAAAGAAAAAUUAUAUCUAUCUCUAUGGUGUCCACUGUACUACAAAUGAUGGACAUGAUUCUGUCUCCUCAUUCCUCUGGGUGCUGUUUGAAGAGUAAAGGAAGUUGGGUUCUCCUGCUUUCUGGAAGAUGAAAUUGAAGCAUCUGGCCCAUAUACAUAACACAUUGAGGGUCUUGCCAAUAACUUAUCAGUCUGCGUGUGAGGUGGAGACCAUUUACCAUUCGAAGAAUGGAAUGAGGCCAGAUAAAAAGAUAGGGAAGCCCUGGGACCCAGUGAGCGGAAGGAACCCAUCACCCAGGGUAUAGUGGAGCCUCCCACUAGCCGAGAAGCAGGAAUCCCAGAACUCUCAACACUGGCUAUGACGGCUGGGACAUAGGGGCUCAUAGUGCUCGCAUCCAUAGAUACUCCAUGUGCACUAAGGAACCAGGGUUAAGGCCUGAGUGUGUGUGACCUUGCAUAGAGUUUUAUUCCUUCCCUAGACAAGGCCUGAGUGUCUAAAACAAGACUGCUCAUUCUGUUUUCAGUGACAGUAUCCUGACCUUCUGUGUCACUGACAUCUAUGUUUUUACCUUAUACAUUGUAAUCCUGUCAGUUGCUCAUUUAAGUUUCUUAAUAAACCUUUGCGCCGGGCGUAGUAGUUCACGCCUUUAAUCCCAGCACUCGGGAGGCAGAAGCAGGUGGAAUUCUGAGUUCAAGGCCAGCCUGGUCUAAUAAAGUAAGUUCCAGGACAGCUAGGGCUAUACAGAGAAACCCUGUCUCGAAAAAACCAAGUGGGCAGGGGGAGGAAAAAGAAAAAAAAUAAACAUUUGCACAUAAUUAACUUCAACCCCACCGAAGUCUUUUGUAUGACUAUUGUAAACAAACAAACAAACAAACAACAACGACAAGAACAAUGAGCUGUGACUGUUAAGCUUGCUCUCCAGUGCACUUCAGUUUUCCUUCUGAGCGUAUCUCUCUUUCAAUUAACCCUGCUGCUUAAGCCCGAAUUAAAAUGCCUUUACUAACCUCAGCUCUACUUCCUAAACUGGCUAGUCCUGAUCUUCAUCCCUGGAUGAAUCAGAUCCAAGUUUGGUCUGAAUCGUGUUUGUAAAAGUCUCGGGAAACUCCCCAGGCUAUUGAGGGUGUCCUGGGGAGCUGUACCUUCUACUUCUGCACCCUAAAAUGCUGACUUGGGACAUCUUACUUUCCCAGGCUACAGAAAUAUGUAUAUUAGGCUGUGAGGAAGGUGUGCUUAUAGAUGAUACGAUAAUGUAGGUUUCAAAGCUCUUGACCUCCCCUCCCCACACCACUUUCACAUUCUCAGGUCCCCGCACUCCCUGCCUUCCCACUCCUUCAGUGGGCAGUCCUGGAAUUUAAGGACCUCAGCCUCCUAAUGGUUCUGGUCCACCACUGGCAUCUCAUUCAAGAAGCCUGCUUUCCUUUUGUGCCAGAGUUCACCCUCACCUGUUGGUGUCCUGCUCUGGCCUUGACCUAGAUCCAUCUAGAAGAGGAGAGCAGGGGUCCCUGGACCCUUGUCCAGGACUCUGUGGCAGGGACCUUGUGAUUGCCUCCAUCCUGAGGCUCUUGCUACUCAGAGAGUCGAAGUUAAGCAUAUGGCCAUUGUUUGGGGAUGUUGCCAUAUACACUGAGGACAGCUGGCUGAUAAGGUCGCUGUCCUUUAGAAGCCUCUUGCUGCUUUCCUCAUGAGUCUGGAUUCGAGCUGUGGGUAGAGGAAAGAGCAGGUGACAUGUCCAGGUUUGCUGUGCAUUGAACCUUAAAGUCCCCACAUGGCACAUGCUCAGACUUGGUCCCUUAUCUGGCACUCUUGGGAAAAGCCUUUAAGACUACAGCCUGGUGCUGAGUCCUCAGGCCAUAGGGGUCAUGUGCUCUAAGGGAAUUAUAAGACUCGCUUUCUGCUUUGGACUGUGAGGUGAACAGAUUUGCUUGGCACACUAUCACAGGGUGGUGUGGCCCCUCCUAAGCAAUGGGGCCAAUGGAACACAGUUUGGAACCUGAAACCGUGAGCUGGGAUGUGGGGCUGGCGAGAUGGCUCAGCAGUUAAGAGCACUGACUGCUCUUCUGAAGGUCCCGAGUUCAAAUUCCAUCAACCUCAUGGUGGCUCACAACCACCUGUAAUGAGAUCGGACGCCCUCUUCUGGCACAUCUGAAGACAGCUACAGUGUACUUAGAUAUAAUAAUAAAUAAAUCUUUAAAAAAAGAAUGGGAUGUAUUUAUUAUUGCAAGAGAACACUGGCUGUCACAAAGCUAAUUUAGCUAAGGGACUUUGACAGCAACUGAGUUUAUAGUCAUCAGCUGCACCUACAAACACAGUGGACCUUUGGCAAUACACAUUUGGCCAUUUGAAGCAUGGUAUCCAGGCAAGGAAUGGAGGAGCCCAGUGUUGUACCCUGAGACUACAGGGUACAAUCUGAUACCCUUCAAGGCAAGGAAGGCUGUUGGAGAAAGUGUGUGUGGGUCCUGGUUGUGUGAGGGGGUGGCUCUGCCUAGAUUAUGCAGUAUUCUCAAUUGACAAUUCAUCUCUAACAGUGACAAUGGGUUUCACAGCACAAAGCACAGUCAUCUUGUAUGUGAAAUUGUCACCUGGUGACUCCUCCACAUGGAAUGUGACCCUUGGACUUGAGUCUCCUGCAGGAGAAGAGUUCUCUUCCAGACAGAGCACUUUAAAACAUUCAUAGGAGCUAGUUCAUGGGGAUGUUUGAGUUCCAUUCUUCGUCAUGCUCUGGUAGGUAGCAUGGGCUGUGCCAGCUCAGUGGUACCAACUGAGCAUCAGUGCACUGACUCAGUGCACUCUAUUAGUGGCCUCAAGGGGCAGAGUUACUGGCUCUUUUUUGAGCUGAACCUAUCAUUCCACCCCCAAAUCUGGCCUUCUAGCCAUGCCAGAUAUCUGUUUCCCACAUUCUCCUUCCUUCUGGGGCAUAGCUUGCUCUUCCCUGGAUGGGUCUGAAUUUGUAGAACUGGGGGAAAGAAGGUAUAACCUUGGAGAGUCUUUGGCUUUGAAUUUUCACUCGACUCUGCUUCAGUGGCUGAGCCUGCCUGCCUGGCAUCGCUAGGGAUGGCUAGGGCUGUAGGUCAGAGAAGACAGAACUUAGGAAUGUGGGAGCCUGGGCAGAAGAUGG